rnacentral:tRNA from 1 species
GCCGUUGUUGCUCAGUGGAUAGAGCGUCUGCCUGUGGACAGAAGGGUCCCGGGUUCAAUUCUGGUCAAGGGCA